CCUACGGGCGGCUGCAGUGCGGAAUAUUGGUCAAUGGCCGGAAGGCUGAACCAGCCAAGUCGCGUGAGGGAAGACGGCGCUACGGAUUGUAAACCUCUUUUGUCAGGGGGCAAAGUGCGGGUCGGGACCCGCUGCGAGGGUACCUGAAGAAAAAGCAUCGGCUAACUCCGUGCCAGCAGCCGCGGUAAUACGGAGGAUGCGAGCGUUAUCCGGAUUUAUUGGGUUUAAGGGGUGCGUAGGCGGAGUCACAAGUCAGCGGUAAAAUCGCGGGGCUCAACCCCGCUCCGCCGUUGAAACUGUGUGUCUUGAGAGGGCGAAGGGUAGGCGGAAUGCGUGGUGUAGCGGUGAAAUGCAUAGAUAUCACGCAGAACUCCGAUCGCGAAGGCAGCAUACCGGCGCCCAACUGACGCUCAUGCACGAAAGCGUGGGUAUCGAACAGGAUUAGAUACCCGAGUAGUC
rnacentral:rRNA from 1 species